AUAGGAAGACAACCUCAGGGGUUACCUCCACGGCCACCAACUCCAGAGGGCUGUCUGCUCUACACCUCUGCUCAGUCCACUUCUGGCAGGAGCGGAGGACUUCCGUGCCAUACAGAAAGUCUCACUGGAAUUGUGUCUGUUGAAGAACCCCACAUCCUAGCACAGAUUUGGAAGGCUGGAUUCCUUGCUGGCAGCAGUAGGCUCAUCAGAACAGGAGGUCCAGGCUGCCUCUCAAAAUCCAGACCAGCUCCUCAGCAUCCACACGAUGUACAACUCAGCCAAAAUCCAUGGUGGAAGGACAAAGAAAGAGCUGGAUCUGGAACAACCGAGGCCCCGCUGUUCUUUGCCUUGUUUAGGACUCUCACUGUGUUCAGAACCCUCGUAGACAUAGGGUAGUCUUCGUCCUCCUAGACUUGGCAAGGGAAGGAGAGAGGAGGAACAGGGAUUGUCAUCCCCACAUGCCUGGACAGUAUUCUAAGUCCCUUCCAAAAUGGAAUGUUGAUAGUUAUUUGUAGGUUGAGAAAUGUAUGACUAGUACAGAAUUGGGCCAGGGACCUGGAACAUCGAAACCUUCCUUCCAUCAUCCACUCCUUCCUGCAAGGUCGUGAGGGAAUCUAUACUCGCUGAGGACAAAGACAGGCAAAGGGACAGUUUUUCUAGCUGGUGCUUUGGCCCCAAGCCCUAUCGUCAAACUCCAGUGACCUGGCCUGGGUCACUGAAAGGGCUCGCUCUGGCUGACUCAGAACCAAAGCACAAAUCCGAACCUCAGGUCAAAC
rnacentral:lncRNA from 1 species